rnacentral:rRNA from 1 species
GACAGAGGUGCCAAGCGUUAGGCGGAAUCACUGGGCUUAAAGCGUGUGUAGGCGGGCGGGCAAGUACCUUGUGAAAUCCCACGGCUCAACCGUGGAACGGCUGGGUAUACUGCCUGUCUUGAGCCAGCUAGGGGCGACCGGAACAGACGGUGGAGCGGUGAAAUGCGUAGAUAUCGUCUGGAACGCCAAAGGUGAAAACAGGUCGCUGGGGCUGAGCUGACGCUGAGACACGAAAGCCAGGGGGGCGAACGGG